GGAGGAAAGCAGGGGAUCGCAAGACCUUGCGCUCAUUGAGCGGCCGAUGCCUGAUUAGCUAGUUGGUGAGGUAAAGGCUUACCAAGGCGACGAUCAGUAGCUGGUCUGAGAGGACGACCAGCCACACUGGGACUGAGACACGGCCCAGACUCCUACGGGAGGCAGCAGUGGGGAAUUUUGGACAAUGGGGGAAACCCUGAUCCAGCCAUGCCGCGUGAGUGAAGAAGGCCUUCGGGUUGUAAAGCUCUUUCAGCCGGAACGAAACGGUCACGGCUAAUACCUGUGACUACUGACGGUACCGGAAGAAGAAGCACCGGCUAACUACAUGCCAGCAGCCGCGGUGAUACGUAGGGUGCGAGCGUUAAUCGGAAUUACUGGGCGUAAAGCGUGCGCAGGCGGUUUUGUAAGUCAGAUAGGAAAUCCCCGGGCUUAACCUGGGAACUGCGU
rnacentral:rRNA from 1 species